AGUGAACGCUGGCGGUAGGCCUAACACAUGCAAGUCGAACGGCAGCACAGUAAGAGCUUGCUCUUACGGGUGGCGAGUGGCGGACGGGUGAGGAAUACAUCGGAAUCUACAUUUUCGUGGGGGAUAACGUAGGGAAACUUACGCUAAUACCGCAUACGACCUACGGGUGAAAGCAGGGGAUCUUCGGACCUUGCGCGAUUGAAUGAGCCGAUGUCGGAUUAGCUAGUUGGCGGGGUAAAGGCCCACCAAGGCGACGAUCCGUAGCUGGUCUGAGAGGAUGGUCAGCCACACUGGAACUGAGACACGGUCCAGACUCCUACGGGAGGCAGCAGUGUGGAAUAUUGGACAAUGGGCGCAAGCCUGAUCCAGCCAUACCGCGUGGGUGAAGAAGGCCUUCGGGUUGUAAAGCCCUUUUGUUGGGAAAGAAAAGCAGCAGGUUAAUACCCCGCUGUUCUGACGGUACCCAAAGAAUAAGCACCGGCUAACUUCGUG
rnacentral:rRNA from 1 species